rnacentral:rRNA from 1 species
CAACAAGGCCUUUACUGACGCUAAAGCUCGAAAGGUGCGGGUAUCGAACAGGAUUAGAUACCCUGGUAGUCCGCACGGUAAAACGAUGGAUGCCCGCUGUUUGCGAUAUACUGUGAGCGGCCAAGAGAAAUCGUUAAGCAUCCCACCUGGGGAGUACGCCGGCAACGGUGAAACUCAAAGGAAUUGACGGGGGCCCGCACAAGCGGAGGAACAUGUGGUUUAAUUCGAUGAUACGCGAGGAACCUUACCCGGGCUUGAACUGCCAGUGAACGAUACAGAGAUGUUGAGGCCCUUCGGGGCACUGGUGGAGGUGCUGCAUGGUUGUCGUCAGCUCGUGCCGUGAGGUGUCGGCUUAAGUGCCAUAACGAGCGCAACCCUUUUCAUUAGUUGCCAUCAGGUAAUGCUGGGCACUCUGGUGAUACUGCCACCGUAAGGUGUGAGGAAGGUGGGGAUGACGUCAAAUCAGCACGGCCCUUACGUCCGGGGCUACACACGUGUUACAAUGGGUGGUACAGAGAGUCGGAUCAACGCAAGUUGUUUCUAAUCCUAAAAGCCAUCCUCAGUUCGGAUUGGGGUCUGCAACCCGACCCCAUGAAGCUGG